GAUGAAGAACGUAGCGAAAUGCGAUAAGUAAUGUGAAUUGCAGAAUUCAGUGAAUCAUCGAAUCUUUGAACGCAUCUUGCGUUCCUUGGUAUUCUGAGGAGCAUGCCUGUUUGAGUGUCAUUAAAUUCUCAACUACACUGACUUUGAAUUGGUGUGGCUUGGAUUUGGGGGGAAAAUUGUUGUGGGCUUUUUGUAUAGUCUGCUCCCCUGAAAUUGAUUAGCGGUACCUUUGUGGAACUGUCUACAGGUGUGAUAAUUAUCUACAUCUUAGACAUCUGCUGGAAUGCUGCUUUCUAAACCUUACUUGUAUUGACAAUCUUGACCUCAAAUCAGGUAGGACUACCCGCUGAACUUAAGCAUAUCAAUAAGCGGAGGA
rnacentral:misc_RNA from 1 species